UGAAGACUUGGCACACCAGUUCUGAAAGGUUGCCGACCCCGUUCUAGAUGAUCAAUCAACUAUCUACAGGACAAGUUAUAAGAGCAUGCAAAGCAUUUAGUUAAGGACCAACUAUUGAUAUUUUAGGUUAUUGACAGGCUGGAAUAUUCCUCCACAUAAGCAUAACACCCAAUUGUUCAGCAUCUAAACAAUGAAGAAAUCAUGCAUGGAAGAACAGAGUUUCAAAUCAGUCAAUUUUAUUAAGUAAGAUUACCAUGUAUUGCAUUAACUUAUAAAGCCAAAAUGUAGAAGAUGGCCUAAUCAAACCAAUUCAUUUUUAUUCCCCAGGGUCUUAGUGUGACUAGUUCACACCUAAAGCAUGUACCAUCUGUGGACUACAGGAUAGUGCUUAGUGAUUGUGUGAGUUAUACUGGAACAAGCAUUAAAUAUUAUAAAUUACUUCAGAUUGUGUCCUUGAUGAAAUAUUGAGCAGAUACCAACUUCAUGGUGGUGAAAAUUAAGAUUUGGACAUAUAGGAUAACCACAACAGGACAACAACAAAAGCCUAUUGAGUCAAUGCAAAGACUCCCACUGAUUUCAACAAGGCUUCUGAUCAGGAACUUUGCAGAGUUGAAAGUACAGCUGUGGAACAAAGAGAACCCCAAGAUACGACAUAUUCAUCUAUCUGCCUGGCUACAUGCAAUUUGAGUAUUGUAUGGUUCACAAUGGAUGCCCCAUUUACAGUCUGAGCCAAACAGUAAGGAAGGGAUUGAGAGCACUUCCAGAGGGGAAAUUUACACUAAGAAAUAAACCAGUACGAGGGAGCCUUGUUUACAAGUGAUGACAAUGGAUUUCUGGACAACAACUGUCAGUACAGAGCAAAAUAGGUGCAUUUCAAGAGUCCCUGCCCCCUCCCCCACCUGCUGGAAAAUGGACCUGGACACAUCUAGGUGAAAAUACCUCUCGAGGUGACCUGUGAACGACCUGCUCAGGAGCCCUAGGAGGCUACGUUGGAGAGUACCUGAGACUGGCCUCUCAGUAGACAAUCCUCUUGCCUGGAUAAACAGAGGAAGAGGGAAGAGAGGCCAUGGUGUAACUUCUCAUUCAAAGGAUAGACAAGGGAGGCGAAGUGUGUCAGAGGCAGGGCUGGACGGACCCAUCACCACUGAAUGGGCCAGUCACACUGUGAGAACAGAGAAUUUAUUGAAUAACCAACAGGAGCUUAACUGUAAUACUGGUAUCAUUUAUCUAUACUGGAACACAACAUCAUGCACAAAGAUGCAGAG